rnacentral:rRNA from 1 species
GACGAACGCUGGCGGCGUGCUUAACACAUGCAAGUCGAACGGAAAGGCCCUGCUAUUGUGGGGUGCUCGAGUGGCGAACGGGUGAGUAACACGUGAGUAACCUGCCCUUGACUUUGGGAUAACUUCAGGAAACUGGGGCUAAUACCGGAUAGGAGCUCCUGCUGCAUGGUGGGGGUUGGAAAGUUUCGGCGGUUGGGGAUGGACUCGCGGCUUAUCAGCUUGUUGGUGGGGUAGUGGCUUACCAAGGGUUUGACGGGUAGCCGACCUGGGAGGGUGACCGGGCACAUUGGGACUGAGGUACGGCCCAGACUCGUACGGGAGGCAGCGGUGGGGAAUAUUGCACAGUGGGCGGAAGUCUGAUACAGCAACGCCGCGGGCGGGAUGACGGCCUUCGGGUUGUAAACCGCUUUCGCCUGUGACGAAGCGGGAGUGACGGUAAUGGGUGAAGAAGCACCGGCUAACUACGUG